AAUGCUGAAAAUAGAAAUCAAUAUAUAAAAGCAAUGAGAUCAAUGCUAGAACCAGCCGGGGUUCACAAAAACUUAAAAUGCAUCCUAAACGACAAUGUUACCAUGGCCUACAAUGUCGACGGUGUUCAAGGGAAGAAAAGUUUUAAACAACUUAAAAACUUUUAUGGUGUUCUGUUAGAAGCGGUCUCAAUGGCCAAAACAAAUAAUAUUGGUCCAGCGGAUGACCAAAUUCGGAAGGCAAUUCAAUUGCAGAAAAGGAGAAUUUUUAAAAAUAUGUCGGUGCAAAGACAUGCUGAUCAAAAAUAAGCCAGACAAAUAAA
rnacentral:sRNA from 1 species